AUGGCGGCGCCGCUCAAGAUCUCCCGCUCGGCGCUCCAGGCGGCGGCCAAGGCCGCGGGGUCCCAAGACCUCCGCAAGGUCUCCCUUUCGCAGUUCCGCGCCCUGUGCGCCGCAGCCGGCGCCAACGGCGAGGUCAUCCCGGCCGGCACCGGCUCCUCCGUCGGCGCGCCUGGCGCCGCGGUGGGCGCAGCCGGUCACGGAACCAAGGGCACCGGAGCUGGGCUCGCCACGGCUGACCGCGGGGCCAACGGCGGCCACCGGAUCGGCGCGCCGGCCGUGUCUCUGUACGGCGCGAAGCUUAAGGGCGCCCAGGGCGCGGCUGCCGCGGGGCUCGGCAUCGGCGCUCCCGGCGCGGCUGGCCUCACCGGCGGCAUGAGCGUCGGAGCUCCGGCCGCCGGCGGGCAUGGACGCGGCGGCGCCGCAAGUGCCACGUUCGGCAUCAGGGCCGGCCUCUCCACCUCCACCAAGGCCGCUGCCCCCGGCUGCGUCGAGUGCGCCGCUGAGUGCGCCAAGAUCAAGGCCAUUUGCAUCGAAAUGGAGGAGUCGUUCCACAGGCGAACGGCACACGUUACCCAAAUGCACUACAGGCUCUCCAACGAGGUGGCGACGAUGAAGAGGGAAGCGGCGGAUUACAGGAUCUGGUUAGUGAGAACGCUCAUCGGGGUCAUGGUGACGGGAACUGGAGCCCUGCUGUUGUUGGCCCUUUUCUUCUCGCCCUACGUGCAACAUGCUUGGCAGUCGGAGACCAUCGCCGAGGUGGAUCGCCGAGCUGCAGCGCGCAGACUUGAGGCGGAGCAAAGUGCCGCCAACCAGGGCGAGAAGAAGGCCUAG
rnacentral:rRNA from 1 species